GGGCUUUGCUCAUUGUUGAAGGCCGUACAGUGACCUAUAGUUGUUGAUUUCUGUGUCAUUUUGGUCUCUUGUGGAGAGUUGUCUCAUUGGCAAUCAUACUACAUCUUCUUUUUUAUACAAUAUUCACACUUGAUACAGGUCUGAAUUUGGAUUGUUAUUUUAAAUAUUUGACACAUAAUAGGUUUCUGACACAGAAUAACUGUAGUCAAAGAACUUGAAUUUUCUUUUUUGCAAUACACUAUGCUGUUGCCAUUUGACCCCCCUCCCCC
rnacentral:lncRNA from 1 species